UUAAGAAUUACGUUUGGAUAAGCUCUUUUAAGUCUCAUAAGAACAGUUAAGCAGGUCUUUCCCCUCAAGUUAUGUAGAAAGGGGAAACAUUCAGUAGUUUUGAUCCAGUCAGUCUGACUCCAAACUCAAAAUGACUGACUAUGGACUACUAUCUCUAAUUCACAGAUUCUCCAAUGAAAGCUCAAGAGGAGAGAAUACAAAACAAGAACGGCAGAAGGUCCAUUGCAGCACCUAUUAGGCAAACAGAAUGGGCUCUAUCCUUUCAUACCAGAGGGAGAAGACCUGGCAGUGUUUCCCGUCUAUUUAAAUGCCUAGAACUCAGUCACACGGCUGCCCCCUGGACUGGAAGACCAUCAGACAUACUGUUAACCAAGCAUUUGGAUUCCAUUCUUUUUCCAGUACUGUAGUAAAAUUACAGGUAACUUGGCAAAUAUGCUUUCAUCCAGCAACAGAGAUUUGUUAUUUAAUCUGGUUUAAAACUUAAAAUAACUCUAGUUAAGCUAAAACUUAAAAUUAUUGUGGUAUCCAAGGUAGGGGAUCUCAAUCUUGGCCACACAUCAGAAUCACCUGUGGAUUAAAAAAAAAAACAACCCAACAACAGUAAUUCUGAUUUAAUUAGUCUGAAGUGGGACCUGGCCACUGAGAAUUUGGAAAGUUCCCCCAGAUCACACUAAGGUGUGGCUAAAAUUGAGUUGCUUAUUUAGGGAAUGGAGUUCAAGUUGGUGAUUUGAUUUGAUUUUCCAGUUAAAUGAGGAUUAAACCCUAUAACCUUCUGGUUCCUCUUUUUGUGGUCACCAGAAUUAGAGAAUUAAAUAUAAAGUGCACUUGUUUCUCUAAGUAGAAUUUCUUAGAUAUAACUGUAUCUCUCUUAUUGCUUGAGGUCUCCUGCAGUGAGUUAACAUCAUUAUAUAUUGAAAAUGGUUUAAAUUUGAACUAUAUGCUUUCAAAUGUAUUCUGGAAAAAGUUCUUUUUUUUUUUUUUUUAAUUUGUCACUAUUUUGUGCAAUUUUCCUCUUUUUCAUAAAAAUAAAGUGUUAGGUGUCAGCUCCCA
rnacentral:lncRNA from 1 species